AUGAGGGGACUGCUGGUUUGCUCCCCCAAGAAAUAUGGUGGUUUAGGAGUGAAGAAUAUUGAAUGUUUCAGCCGGGCUCUGCGGCUGAGGUGGGAGUGGUUUCGAUGGGAUGAGGUGGACAGGCCGUGGAAGGGCACCCCGACGCCGUGCGACAGCUCUGACAAGCAGCUCUUCUCGAGCUGUACCACAAUUCAGUUGGGUGAUGGCUCUCUUGCUUCCUUCUGGAUGGACAGAUGGCUGAAUGGGGUUGCACCUGUUGUUCUUGCUCCGGAGAUCUUCAAAUUGACCCGCCUCAAAAGGUUAUCGGUCAAGGAGGCGAUGGACAAUGGGCGAUGGAUGAAAGGGUUACAGCGUAUGCAUACUGAUGCCCAGAUCGAGCAGUUUGUCAGGCUUUGGGGGGAGGUGCAGAAUGUGAUGCUGUCCAACAACAGAGAUAGCAUCAGUUGGGACUUAACUGCAAAUGCUGCAUACUCUGCUUGCUCUGCUUAUGAAAUUCAGUUUGCAGCUAGGAUUGCGAUGCCGGGUUUGGACCGGGUGUGCAGGUGCAAGAUGGAAGGAAAGGUCAAGUUUUAUUUGUGGCUGCUCCUGCAAAAUAGGAACUGGACGGCAGAUCAUCUGCGAGCGAGAGGGUGGUCACAUAAUUCCAUGUGCCGGUUGUGUGAUCAGCAGGAGGAAACCGCGGAACACCUAACUCUGUCCUGCUGCUAUGCAAAGGAGGUUUGGUUCCAGUUCAGCAGAACAAGCAGCGCAAUGUACAAUGCUAUUUCGUCGACACCCUCGAUUAGGGAAUGGUGGUUCAGGCUGUAUUCUGCUACAGGUGAAAAAGAGAAAGUAUCUGAGGAUAUUACUUUGGCCGCGUAUAUCGCGUGGAAUCUGUGGAUGGAGCGAAACCGAAGGGUUUUUGAUCAGAAGGAGCGGACGGCCAUCUCUCUGGUUGUUUUCAUCAAGGAGGAGGUUAAUUUAUUCUGGGAGGCAACUAAGAGGACCACUGUAGUAUAG
rnacentral:rRNA from 1 species